UACGAAGGGGGCUAGCGUUGCUCGGAAUCACUGGGCGUAAAGCGCACGUAGGCGGCUUUCUAAGUCAGGGGUGAAAUCCUGGAGCUCAACUCCAGAACUGCCUUUGAUACUGGAAGACUUGAGUCCGGGAGAGGUGAGUGGAACUGCGAGUGUAGAGGUGAAAUUCGUAGAUAUUCGCAAGAACACCAGUGGCGAAGGCGGCUCACUGGCCCGGUACUGACGCUGAGGUGCGAAAGCGUGGGGAGCAAACAGG
rnacentral:rRNA from 1 species